rnacentral:misc_RNA from 1 species
UCCUAGCCCUGUCCCGAUGGUUAUCGGGAGGAGCGGUAUCUUUUAGACCUGAUAGGUUUUAAAAAUAUAGCGGACAACAGGAAACACG